CUCUUUCUCCAUUUUUUGUUCAAUUUUGUCUUUCUUUUCUAUUUCUCGUUAUGGUUUCAUCGACUAUAGAAGGCCCGACUCCCAUUUUCUACCCGAGUCCGAACCCAACGUCUCUUCAACUCCCAUCACAGGAUCAUCGUCCUCAAAGAGUUUAAUUUAAUUUUACAUCUCAAGUUGUUGAUUUUCCCUGGCUUCUUCUCACAAUUGGGCUGUUUUUAGUCGAAAAUCGUCAAUAUUCAGUCACUUCAUUGAGAAUCUCCCCAACCUAACUCCAAAUUAGAUCUAGGUAUCCUUCAUUCCUCUUCUUUACACUCCUUAUUUUUAGUAAUCAUUCAUAUAUUUGAAUAUCUAUGGUUGCACUUCUAUUAUCAGAAAUUUUGGAAUUAAUGAUUGAUCGUAUGUUUAGUAAAUUUUUAACUUUAUUGUGGAGAUCAUUUAUUAGAUUAUUGAAGUGGAUGCAUCACUUAAAGAUUUGUAUAUGGGGUUUCUUCGAAGAUAAAGGACACCAAGAAACAAUAUCAACUAUAUACAAUUUUGCAUUGAUUGAAUUUUUUGAAGUAAUAUGUUCGUUUAUACAUUUUCUUGUUCCUCGUAAUACAUUAAUAUAUAAUUUGGUUAGACAAAUGCUAAUUAUAUCAAGUGUCUAUCUUCAUGUUUGUAUGCCCCUUGGUCUAUUUGUUUUCGGUUAUGUCAGCAUUUUUGCAAACUGAAAGUUUCUCUUUUUCAAUGAAAUAGAGACUUUAGAAAAAUGUAUUUUUAUGGCAUUAAUGGGACAUCUUCAUUGAAACAUUUGUCUAUGGAUGAUGGAAAUGACAAGUCUAAUGUUAUGGCAGAUUCCAUGAACCCUAAUUUUGUAAACUAUCUACAAAUGAUUAUCUAUCAAUUGUUCGUGAUAGAAAGGGGUCAUCUGCAUAGAGGCAUCAUUAUUACUUUUCAAGUUACACAAUAUAAAAAUUUUUGACAGUCUACUUAUUAAAAAGAAAAAUAGGAAAAGGUUUAGCCACUAUUAAUAGGGUCUGUCUAAAAGGAAGAGGAAAAAACAUCAAUAGUCGGAAUAUCUCAUAUGACAAAACUAUUUUAUUUAGAUGGUAUGCACAAUAUAAUUCUUUUUUUUAUGAGCUCAAGAAACUGUAUAUAUUUUCAUCAGUUUAAUGACAUUUUAAUUGAUAGAUUUCAUUAUCUAGUGUUGCUUGUAAUGCAAGUGUGGAAACAUGUGUAAAUUUGCCAAUCUUGAUUAAUCUUCUGUGUACAUGGCUAUGGAAAACAUCCUUGUGACGAAUGGUUUGGAAUUUUCGAUGGCAUCCAACUCAUUCAAGGUAUGCUUCUCUCACUUUGAACUUUUUACUCAUUCUAUUAUUGAAUGAUACAAUCCUCACGCAAUUUUCAAAGAUCCAUUCUGCAGGGAAAAUAAUACAUUAGUAAGUUGCUUCUUACCAUCAUCGUUUACGCAUUUAAUUAUGUUGGUUUGAAGUUUACUUAUAUGUUUUUAGAUCAUACCUUACUCGAUUAUUUCUCUCGAUUAGGUCAUGUAUGAUGCUUACACUCUAUUUGGUGAACCUACUCCAACAAACAAGCAGUACAAUUCAAAUAAGAUUUUUAGCCAUCCCGAUAUUACUACUGGAAAACCAUGGUAUGGUAUUCAGCAAAAGUUCAUCCCUUUGCACAAGAAUGUUAGGUGGCCCAUUGAAUAGCCUUAGGGAGGUUAUCCCGAACCUGAGUUAUAACAUUAUAAUGUACAAAAUGUUAGUUGUUUAUUAUCUUUUAUAUUGGCAAAAAAUUCAAAUUUCAUGUCACACCCCCAUUCAUAUACAUAACUAUCCAUUAACCUGUGUGGGAAUAAAAUUGAUGACUCGACCUAGAUAUAGAAUUUCUCACUUUUUCUCACGUGAUAAAACGACGUAAGUUAUGUCUCUAAACCAAAAUCAUAUCGUCAUAAUCAAACAUAUAUAUUCUGAGAUUAUAAACAAGUCUACAUACCAUGUCAAAAGAUAUACAACACAUGAUCCCCAACAUACAACACAAUAGGUCAUAAGCUCAAAAUAGCAGCCCACAAAAUAACCCUACAGGUCGUCAUCCAUGUACAUAGAACUCUGGAAUCCCGUAAGAGCUCCACAGCUAGCUGUGCUCUCUAUAUAAUUCCAGGCUAACCUACAAUGUAAGAACUACAUAAACCAAUGCUUAGUAAGCAAAAAUCAUGCAUGUAAUGAAUAUAAAUAAUAAUGAUAUAUGCCAUUUACUUUAAACAUCACGAUAAAGAAGCAUCAUAUUUCAAUAUGUAUCAAAGUCGACUCGAAAUCAUUUUGUUUGAAACCUUUCAUUUCAUUGGGCCCU